UUGGCCGGUCGAGCAGCGUCU
rnacentral:miRNA from 1 species